GGUCGGUGACGUAGUCCCCGCUGCUCCUCCCUGAGCUCUCCCUUCCGCACCUCCCAGCUCACGGCGGGGCUGCGGCUUCUCGAGCCUGGGAGGUGCGGCCGGGCUAGCGGGCCAAAGACCCCCUCCUGGAGGCUGCCCCGGGACCGGGAAAGCGGCGGCGGCGGCCCCCCACACCCCAGUGGGGUCUGAGCAGCAACAGCCACGUGACUGUCCACGGCGCCCAGGGCAGCCAUCUUCCUCCGGCCAGCCCCCUAUGACGCCGGCCAAUCGCCAGGGAGGGCAGGGCAGGGCAGGACGCGGAGCCCGGAGCAGGCUGCGCGCACGCCCCGCCCAGCCCCGCGGAUACCUCUCCGGUCAGCCGUCACUUCCCGCCCCCUGCUCAUUUCCUCCAGUCCGGCCAGCUUAGGCCUCCGGCUCUUCUGCGGCCCCCUUCGGAGGCGCGAUGCUGCCCAGUGCAGGCCCCCAGCGCGGAGGGAGGACCUGCUUCCCAUCUCAGCAGCUGGCAUGCAGAGUCCAGGCAGGGAGCCUGAGGGGUGCCCGGGGCAGCCCCCCUUUUUACUGAGGAGGAGCGAAAGCCCCGGGAAGGCACGCAGGCUGCUAUUGGAUGAUCUCCUGAAGAAGGGAUGAAAGACUAGCUUGGUUUUGGCGAACCACUACGGGAAAAAGACCUAUAUCAGUCUUCUGAUCUCCUUACUAAUCACCUGGGAGAAGUCCCACCCCGGCUACCCCCCCCUGGCUCUUGGCCCUGCCUUAGUGCUUGGAAGGUUUCUAGAACCUCAAUAAAUUUCCUGAAUUUUCUUGCCUUUUCA
rnacentral:lncRNA from 1 species